rnacentral:rRNA from 1 species
UACGGAGGAUGCGAGCGUUAUCCGGAUUUAUUGGGUUUAAAGGGUGCGUAGGCGGGCUUUUAAGUCAGCGGUAAAAAUUCGGGGCUCAACCCCGUCCGGCCGUUGAAACUGGGGGCCUUGAGUGGGCGAGAAGAAGGCGGAAUGCGUGAUGUAGCGGUGAAAUGCAUAGAUAUCACGCAGAACCCCGAUUGCGAAGGCAGCCUUCCGGCGCCCUACUGACGCUGAGGCACGAAAGUGCGGGGAUCGAACAGG